GAUCAUGGCUCAGGACGAACGCUGGCGGCGUGCCUAAUACAUGCAAGUAGAACGCUGAAGGAGGAGCUUGCUUCUCUGGAUGAGUUGCGAACGGGUGAGUAACGCGUAGGUAACCUGCCUGGUAGCGGGGGAUAACUAUUGGAAACGAUAGCUAAUACCGCAUAAUAGUAGAUGUUGCAUGACAUUUACUUAAAAGGUGCAAUUGCAUCACUACCAGAUGGACCCGCGUUG
rnacentral:rRNA from 1 species